rnacentral:rRNA from 1 species
UACGGAGGCUGCAAGCGUUAUCCGGAAUGAUUGGGCGUAAAGCGCCCGCAGGUGGUUGUGUGUGUCUAUUGUCAAAGCAUCAUGCUUAACAUGAUAAAGGCAGUAGAAACUACACGACUAGAGUGCGGUCGGGGCAGAGGGAAUUCCUGGUGUAGCGGUGAAAUGCGUAGAGAUCAGGAAGAACACCGGUGGCGAAAGCGCUCUGCUAGGCCGCAACUGACACUGAGGGACGAAAGCUAGGGGAGCGAAUGGG